GGGCCGGUAGUUUAGCGGCUAUAACGUCUCGUUUACACCGAGAAGGUCGGCGGUUCGAGUCCGCCCCGGCCCA
rnacentral:tRNA from 1 species